rnacentral:rRNA from 1 species
GACGAACGCUGGCGGCGUGCUUAACACAUGCAAGUCGAACGGAAAGGCCCUGCUUUUGUGGGGUGCUCGAGUGGCGAACGGGUGAGUAACACGUGAGUAACCUGCCCUUGACUUUGGGAUAACUUCAGGAAACUGGGGCUAAUACCGGAUAGGAGCUCCUGCUGCAUGGGGGGGGUUGGAAAGGUUCGGCGGUUGGGGAUGGACUCGCGGCUUAUCAGCUUGUUGGUGGGGUAGUGGCUUACCAAGGCUUUGACGGGUAGCCGGCCUGAGAGGGUGACCGGCCACAUUGGGACUGAGAUACGGCCCAGACUCCUACGGGAGGCAGCGGUGGGGAAUAUUGCACAAUGGGCGGAAGCCUGAUGCAGCAACGCCGCGUGCGGGAUGACGGCCUUCGGGUUGUAAACCGCUUUCGCCUGUGACGAAGCGUGAGUGACGGUAAUGGGUAAAGAAGCACCGGCUAACUACGUG